rnacentral:lncRNA from 1 species
AGUUCCUGUUGAGGCCUUGCCCUUUUCUCACCCGUGUCCGGAGUGGCCCCCGCUCCAGAAGCGCACAGCCGCUGGUUGGGGCAUCCCUGACAUGAAGCCCCUCUGCCCGCCUGGGCGCUGUCGGCCCCUGGACAGUCUGCGCAGAGACAAGACCACAGUUAGAGCAGCUCCCGACACUUUCGCCCCGCGACCCACGCCCCCUCCGCGAGCUUACCGUGAGGCACCUCCUCCAUUCCGUCGCCUUUGCCGCCUUCGUGGUCACCGGAACCCGCUGUCGUACAUUUCCGCCUUGUGGGCACAAUCUGAUUCUCCGACCGCGCGAAAUAAGUCUCGGAAAGGGGGCUGUGCGCACGCGCGAACCUUGGGCCGAAAGACUGGGACUCAACGUCUGUUCCUUUUCAGAGAUUUCCUAUCAUAAAUACUUCUGCAGUGCAUCUCCUAAGAACAAAGCCAUUCUUCAUGACAUCAGUGCCAUUUUCAUACCCAAGAGAUUUAAUAUCGAUGCAGUACUAGCCAAUGCAGUAUUAGCCAAUAGACAGUUUAUAUUUCAAUUUCAGUUGUUAGACCCCCUCCCCUGCUGGAUUCACUCACUGCCUGGAGUUAUUUCUCUUCGGUCUCCUUUAAUUCAGAUCAGUCCUUCUUUUUUUAGGGGGGGUCUCAUCACCUUGAUAAUUUUGACGGGUCCAGACCAGUUGUGUAAUAGAAUAUCCCAUAUUCUUGAUUUGUCUAAUCCUCCCCUCCCUCUUGCCUUGUAAUUAGAUAAAGGUUAAUUUUUCUUUUUUCCUGCAGAA